AGAACGAACGCUGGCGGCGUGCCUAACACAUGCAAGUCGAACGAGAAACUCGAGCUUCGGUUCGAGGAGUAAAGUGGCGCACGGGUGAGUAACGCGUGAGUAAUCUACCGCGUAGCCCAGGAUAACGUUGGGAAACUGGCGCUAAUACUGGAUGAAGUCAGCCUCCGCGAGGGGCGUUGACCAAAGGAGGCCUCUUCUUGAAAGCUUCCGCGAUGCGAUGAGCUCGCGUCCCAUUAGCUAGUUGGUAGGGUAAAGGCCUACCAAGGCGACGAUGGGUAGCCGGCCUGAGAGGGUGUCCGGCCACGACUGGAACUGAAACACGGUCCAGACUCCUACGGGAGCAGCAGUGAGGAAUUUGCGCAAUGGACGAAAGUCUGACGCAGCGACGCCGCGUGGGCGA
rnacentral:rRNA from 1 species